UGUGUAGGCGGUUUGUUAAGUUAAUGUGAAGCCUGUGGCUCAACCACAGAAUUGCAUUUGAUACUGGCAGACUAGAGUGCAGGAGAGGUAAGUGGAAUUCCUAGUGUAGCGGUGGAAUGCGUAGAUAUUAGGAAGAACACCAGAGGCGAAGGCGGCUUACUGGACUGUUACUGACGCUGAGGCACGAAAGCAUGGGGAGCAAACA
rnacentral:rRNA from 1 species